rnacentral:rRNA from 1 species
CCUACGGGUGGCAGCAGUGGGGAAUAUUGGUCAAUGGAGGCAACUCUGAACCAGCCAUGCCGCGUGCAGGAAGAAGGCUUUCUGAGUUGUAAACUGUUUUUGUACGGGGGUAAAUCCCGAUACGUGUAUCAGAAUGCAAGUCUCGAACAGAUACGGAUCGGCUAGCUACGUGCCAGGAGCCGAGGUUAUACGGAGGAUGCAAGCGUUAUCCGGAUUUAUUGGGUUUAAAGGGUGCGUAGACGGUUCGAUAAGUUAGAGGUGAAAUCCCGGGGCUCAACUCCGGAACUGCAUAUGAUACUGUCGUGCUGGAGUAUAGGUGAGGUAGGCGGAAUGUAUGGUGUAGCGGUGAAAUGCAUAGAGAUUAGACGGAACACCAGUGGCGAAGGCAGCUUACUAAAC